GAUCUAAGCAGUCAGUGGGUGCGAGGUGUGGUCAGCUGCGAGGGGGUAAAAAGUGACAGCUGGUGAGUCGGCGAGCUGGCCAAUAUGUUUAUGUAUUUUCUCCACCGAUGGUUGUUGCGUGUGACUCAAUAGUGAAGAUGUCAUCAUUUUGUGCAGUGAAGUAUUGCGGGAAUACGAUUGCGAACACAAAAACCCGUGGAAUUGUGUUCCAUCGAUUUCCAAAAGAUGGAGAGCGACGCCAAUCGUGGGUCGCGUUCUGUGCCCAACAUGAUGGUUGGUCACCACAGCAGACCAGGCAAUUUGUUCGAGUCACUUCACCAGAUAUUUGUUUUUGGUGACAGUCCUCAUAAUCUGAAACUCAUAAGGAACUGGUUUAUUGGAGAAGGAAUAUUAAUGAAUAACAAAGUUAUUAAUUCCCGUCUAAUAGGCAUAUUGGUUGAAGAAAGAGCACAAUGCGAAUUAACCCCUCUAUUUGCGCUGAACAACGGACAUAUCGAAUUGUCAUCUGCUGAAAAGCAAAACGUAGCAAAAGCAGCGAAAUUAUUAGCUCAUACGACGGCUACCGUACUAAGACAGCGCCAAAUAUCAGGCAUAGUUCGCUGGUGUACUACACAGCGCACCUUA